rnacentral:lncRNA from 1 species
AUGUUUUGCACCAACUUUCCUUGCACUUUAGUCUUUAUGUUUAGCCUUUUCAAGUUAAGUAAUUUACAACCAGUGCAUUAUCUGACCUUCAUAUCAUUUUCUUGUUCAUUGAAGGCAUUCAACAACAGUACUGAAAACAUCAUGCUAAAAAGCAAAAACAGAGGCACAUUCAGAUUCCCAGCACUUCACUGUUUGUGUACAAUAACCAGAGCAACAUUGCCAGGUGCCUUAAUGAAACAUAGAGAAAAAUAUAACAUGGAAAUUGAGGAAAUUCCUAAUUCAGUGGAUCAUGGCCAGGUAUGAAGAGGAAAUGGAUCUCAUUUUUGGAACUCAAGAAACUGAGUCUCCAAGCCAUAAAGAAAUAGGUUUAUUCAGAGAGUCUCACAAUAAAUUCAGACUUCUUGUCA